ensembl:lncRNA
UAUAUAUAUAUAUACACUAGAAUAUCGAAGUCAGGGAAAGAGACUAACUUGAAAAAAGAAAAAGAAAGAUGUAACAAUAGGAUCGUUUAUUGUAGUACUGUUGUAGGGGGGACGGAUUUAGAGGGUGCACCACACACACGGAGCGGCCCGGAUAACUGUAUUACAGCAGAGUAUUGGUGACUGCAUACCAAUAAAGUUCAAGUAACUUUUUUAACUUAUAUAACUUAUUUAUAAUGCAAUGUUUGAGUCAUUCAACGUACAAAGCUUCUCUUAGUAACAAUAAAAUAAAAUGGACCUCUCUUCAGACAAAUCAUCUUGUUAAAGGCAAAGUACAUUCAGCUCGCAUACAAUAAUUUCGGAACCUACGCCAGGAUCCUGUUUGUGGGCUUCAGCUCUGCCUUCAACACCAUCAUCCCGUCUCUGCUGCAGGAUAAACUCUCCCAGCUGCACGUGCCCGACUCACAGACUUCCUGUCUGACAGGAAACGGCACGUGAAGCUGGGGAAACAUGUCUCAGCCUUUCGGACCAUCAGCACCGGUUCCCCCCAAGGCUGCGUUCUAUCCCCUCUGCUCUUCUCCCUGUACACCAACAGCUGCACCUCCAGUCACCAGUCCGUCAAGCUCCUGAAGUUUGGGGAUGACACCAACCUCAUUGGACUGAUCUCUGGUGGGGAUGAGUCCGCCUACAGCCAGAACAACCUGGAGCUCAACGCUCUAAAGACAGUGGAGAUGGUUGUGGAUUUCGGGCGGAACAGAGCUCCACCUUCCCCCAUUACUCUGUGUGACUCCCCCGUCACUAUUGUGGACUCUUCUGUUUCCUGGGCUCCAUCAUCACCCAGGACCUCAAGUGGGAGCUGAACAUCAGCUCCAUCACAAAGAAGGCUCAGCAGAGGUUGUUCUUCCUGAGGCCUCUGAAGCAAGCCAAAAAGAUCGUAGCCGACCCCUCUCACCCCGGACACAAACUGUUUGUGCCCCUUCCAUCUGACAGGAGGUUGAGGUCCAUCAGGACUAACACCUCCCGCCACACGAACAGUUUCUUCCCGUCGGCAGUCGGGCUCAUCAACAAAGCCCGGUCCCCCAAUGACUGACUAUAACAUUCACUCUGCUUCAUACUGCACGUCACUUUAACUGUCAUUUUUCACUUUGUCGUCACUUGUCACUUUGUUACUUGUUCGCUAGUGCACUUUAUGCUUAAUACUUUUUUAAUAUUUUAAAUUUUUAACUCUAACUUUAUUCUCUUGUUUUAUACUAAUCCAUAGCCUUAUUCUACUAACCCAUUGCAUUAGCAUUUCAUUUUACCUUAUUUUAUUACUUGUGCACUGCUGCCUUGUUGUCUAUUGUUACACUGUCUACUGUCACGCACCAACCGCCAAGACAAAUUCCUUGUAUGUUUGACAUACAGUAUUUUGGCAAUAAAUGUUUC